AUUGAACGCUGGCGGCAUGCUUUACACAUGCAAGUCGAACGAGUGGCGAACGGGUGAGUAAUAUAUCGGAACGUACCGAGUAAUGGGGGAUAACUACUGGAAACGGUAGCUAAUACCGCAUACCAUCAGAUGUGCCCAGAGUGGAUUAGCUAGUGGGUGGGGUAACGGCUCACCAAGGCGACGAUCCCUAGCUGGUCUGAGAGGAUGACCAGCCACACUGGAACUGAGACACGGGCCAGACUCCUACGGGAGGCAUCAGUGGGGAAUAUGGCACAAUGGGCGCAAGCCUGAUGCAGCCAUGCCGCGUGUAUGAAGAAGGCCUUCGGGUUGUAAAGUACUUUCAGCGGGGAGGCGUUACCCGCAGAAGAAGCACCGGCUAACUCCGUGCCAGCAGCCGCGGUAAUUC
rnacentral:rRNA from 1 species